rnacentral:tmRNA from 1 species
GGGGCUGUCAUGGUUUCGACAGGUUUAUGUCUGAUUCAGGAUGCAGUGGAGCGGUGACCUAAUCACUACUAAAUUUAAACGCUAAUAACAAUAGCACAAGCUUUGCUUUCGCUGCUUAAUUGACGCUAGACGCGUCUGCAGCGCCCGAUCCGUGUAUUAGCCGUUCUGCUCGGAUUGUGUAAUCAAAACGGAUAAGGUGAUCCUGAUGCCUGUAGGGGGAUCCCGACAAUUCACAGGCAGAUUCAGCAGAUGAUUCGUGUACUGUUCUGUCUGCUGUCUUAUCUUACAGUGCAAUAAACUGUAGAUUCCUGAAUGUGGGACUAUUCUUGGACACGGGUUCGACUCCCGUCAGCUCCACCA